rnacentral:lncRNA from 1 species
UUCCAUUCCAGGCUGUAUCACAGCGGUCUAAGACCCUGCAUCUCAGUACUAGAGGAGUCACUACAGACCCUGGUUCCAUUCCAGGCUGUAUCACAGCGGUCUAAGACCCUGCAUCUCAGUACUAGAGGAGUCACUACAGACCCUGGUUCCAUUCCAGGCUGUAUCACAGUGGUCUAAGACCCUGCAUCUCAGUACUAGAGGAGUCACUACAGACCCUGGUUCCAUUCCAGGCUGUAUCACAGUGGUCUAAGACCCUUCAUCUCAAUACUAGAGGUGUCACUACAGACACCCUGGUUCAAUUCCAGGCUGUAUCACAACCUGCCGUGGUUUGCAGUCCCAUAGGGCGGCGCACAAUUGGCCCAGCGUCUUCCAGGUUAGGGGAGGGUUUGGCCGGUGUAGUCUGUCAUUGUAAAUAAGAAUUUGAUGUUAACUGACAUCCCUAGUUAAAUAAAGGUUGAAUAAAAUAAAAGGGGAGACUGUCAUAGACUUCUGUACUACAUGGUGUAGUAACCAGGGUCUGAGAGGAGACUGUCAAAGACUUCUGUACUACAUGGUGUAGUAACCAGGGUCUGAGGGGAGACUGUCAUAGUCUUCUGUACUACAUGGUGUAGUAACCAGGGUCUGAGGGGAGACUGUCAUAGACUUCUGUACUACAUGGUGUAGUAACCAGGGUCUGAGAGGAGACUGUCAUAGACUUCUGUACUACAUGGUGUAGUAACCAGGGUCUGAGGGGAGACUGUCAUAGACUUCUGUACUACAUGGUGUAGUAACCAAGGUCUGAGGGGAGACUGUCAAAGACUUCUGUACUACAUGGUGUAGUAACCAGGGUCCAUAAAACACUUAGUCACAGUUAAUCACAGUUAGUCACAGUUAGUUACAGUUAGUCACAGUUAAUCAAAGUUAGUCAUCGUUAGUCACAGUUAGUCACGGUUAGUCACAAUUAAUCACAGUUAGUCACAGUUAAUCACAGUUAGUCACAGUUAGUCACCGUUAGUCACGGUUAGUCACAAUUAAUCACAGUUAGUCACAGUUAGUCACAGUUAAUCACAGUUAGUCACAGUUAGUCACCGUUAUUCAUGGUUAGUCACAAUUAAUCACAGUUAGUCACAGUUAGUCACAAUUAAUCACAGUUAGUCACAGUUAGUCACAGUUAGUCACAAUUAAUCACAGUUAGUCACUGUUAAUCACUGUUAGUCACCGUUAGUCACAGUUAGUCACCAUUAGUCACCGUUAGUCAUGGUUAGUCACAAUUAAUCACAGUUAGUCACAGUUAGUCACAGUUAAUCACUGUUAGUCACCGUUAGUCAUAGUUAGUCACAGUUAGUCACCGUUAGUCAUGGUUAGUCACAAUUAAUCACAGUUAGUCACAGUUAAUCACAGUUAGUCACCGUUAGUCACAAUUAAUCACAGUUAGUCACAGUUAAUCACAGUUAGUCACAGUUAGUUACAGUUAGUCACAGUUAAUCAAAGUUAGUCAUCGUUAGUCACAGUUAGUCACGGUUAGUCACAAUUAAUCACAGUUAGUCACAGUUAUUCACAGUUAGUCACAGUUAGUCACCGUUAGUCACGGUUAGUCACAAUUAAUCACAGUUAGUCACAGUUAAUCACAGUUAGUCACAGUUAGUCACCGUUAUUCAUGGUUAGUCACAAUUAAUCACAGUUAGUCACAGUUAGUCACAGUUAGUCACAAUUAAUCACAGUUAGUCACAGUUAGUCACAGUUAGUCACAAUUAAUCACAGUUAGUCACAGUUAAUCACUGUUAGUCACCGUUAGUCACCGUUAGUCACAGUUAGUCACCGUUAGUCACCGUUAGUCAUAGUUAGUCACAGUUAGUCACCGUUAGUCAUGGUUAGUCACAAUUAAUCACAGUUAGUCACAGUUAAUCACUGUUAGUCACCGUUAGUCAUAGUUAGUCACAGUUAGUCACCGUUAGUCACGGUUAGUCACAAUUAAUCACAGUUAGUCACAGUUAAUCACAGUUAGUCACCAUUAGUCACAAUUAAUCACAGUUAGUCACAGUUAGUCACAGUUAGUCACAAUUAAUCACAGUUAGUCACAGUUAAUCACUGUUAGUCACCGUUAGUCACCGUUAGUCACAGUUAGUCACCGUAGUCAUGGUUAGUCACAAUUAAUCACAGUUAAUCACAGUUAGUUACAGUUAAUCACUGUUAGUCACCGUUAGUCACCCUUAGUCAUAGUUAGUCACAGUUAGUCACCGUUAGUCACAGUUAGUCACCGUUAGUCAUGGUUAGUCACAAUUAAUCACAGUUAGUCACAAUUAAUCACAGUUAGUCACAGUUAAUCACAGUUAGUCACCGUUAUUCAUGGUUAGUCACAAUUAAUCACAGUUAGUCACCGUUAGUCACAGUUAGUCACAAUUAAUCACAGUUAGUCACAGUUAGUCACAAUUAAUCACAGUUAGUCACAGUUAGUCACAGUUAGUCACCGUUAGUCACCGUUAGUCACCCUUAGUCACCCUUAGUCACCUGUAGUCACAGUUAGUCACCGUUAGUCACCCUUAGUCACCGGUAGUCACAGUUAGUCACAGUUAAUCACUGUUAGUCACCGUUAGUCACGGUUAGUCACAAUGUCAUGAAUCCCGCUUCCUGAGUCUGUUUUCUGCCUGAGUUGCCUGUUUUCUGUCUUGGAGUCUGUUUCCUGAGGUUCCUGAACGCACCCUGUCUAGUGGCCAGGCGACGAAGCUAGGCGGGAGAUCUCUCGAUUACCCGCACCUGCAUCUCAUCAGCUAUCUGCACACCUGGUCCUGAUCAUCACCUCUCCACUUCAUAAGCUCUGACCUGACAUCCAUUCCCUGCCGGAUCGUUAGCAAUGAACAAUAUGUUGUGUCAGCGUAUCAGCCUCAAGUUUAC